AACGCAAAUUGCACUCUCUGGUAUUCCGGGGAGUAUGCCUGUUUGAGGGUCAGUUUAAAUAAAAAUCGAGGUGUUGCUUUUUGCGACGCCAUCGGAAUUGGGUUUAUCUUUUAUCCUUCUGGAUUUAAGAGACCUAAAAUUGAUACCUUGUGCAUCUCAAGACGUACAUAAGAAUAUUUUUUUUUUAUCCGUCCACAAAGUUGGCCAACUUUUUAUUAGGUAUGACCAUGGUAUUUUUUUGUGGUAUCGUGCCUAUAAUAACAUAACUCAUAUUUUGACCUCAAAUCAGGUAGGAGUACCCGCUGAACUUAA
rnacentral:misc_RNA from 1 species